UACGUAGGGGGCAAGCGUUGUCCGGAUUUAUUGGGCGUAAAGAGCGUGUAGGCGGCCAGGUAGGUUGGUUGUGAAAACUGGAGGCUCAACCUUCAGAGGUCGACCCAAACCCCCUGGCUAGAGUCCGGAAGAGGAGAGUGGAAUUCCUGGUGUAGCGGUGAAAUGCGCAGAUAUCAGGAAGAACACCCGUGGCGAAGGCGGCUCUCUGGGACGGUACUGACGCUGAGACGCGAAAGCGUGGGGAGCGAACAGG
rnacentral:rRNA from 1 species